GACGUAGGGUGCAAGCGUUGUCCGGAAUUAUUGGGCGUAAAGAGUUCGUAGGCGGUUGCCUAAGUCUGAUGUUAAAGCCCGGAGCUCAACUCCGGCAUGGCAUUGGAAACUGGGUGGCUAGAGUGCGGUAGAGGUCACGGGAAUUCCAGGUGUAGCGGUGAAAUGCGUAGAUAUCUGGAGGAACACCGGUGGCGAAGGCGGAUCUCUGGGCCGAUACUGACGCUGAGGAGCGAAAGCGUGGGGAGCGAACAGG
rnacentral:rRNA from 1 species